rnacentral:rRNA from 1 species
UACGUAGGGGGCAAGCGUUGUCCGGAAUCAUUGGGCGUAAAGAGCGUGUAGGCGGCCCGAUAAGUCCGCUGUGAAAGUCCAGGGCUCAACCCUGGGAUGCCGGUGGAUACUGUCGGGCUCGAGUCCGGAAGAGGCGAGUGGAAUUCCUGGUGUAGCGGUGAAAUGCGCAGAUAUCAGGAGGAACACCAAUGGCGAAGGCAGCUCGCUGGGACGUGACUGACGCUGAGACGCGAAAGCGUGGGGAGCAAACGGG